CCUACGGGAGGCAGCAGUGAGGAAUAUUGGUCAAUGGACGAGAGUCUGAACCAGCCACGUAGCGUGAAGGAUGACUGCCCUAUGGGUUGUAAACUUCUUUUAUAUGGGAAUAAAACGUUCCACGUGUGGGAUUUUGUAUGUACCAUAUGAAUAAGGAUCGGCUAACUCCGUGCCAGCAGCCGCGGUAAUACGGAGGAUCCGAUCGUUAUCCGGAUUUAUUGGGUUUAAAGGGAGCGUAUGUGGAUUGUUAAGUCAGUUGUGAAAGUUUGCGGCUCAACCGUACAAUUACAGUUGAAACUGGCAGUCUUGAGUACAGUAGAGGUGGGCGGAAUUCGUGGUGUAGCGGUGAAAUGCUUAGAUAUCACGAAGAACUCCGAUUGCGAAGGCAGUUCACUGGACUGCAACUGACACUGAGGCUCGAAAGUGUGGGUAUCAAACAGGAUUAGAUACCCGAGUAGGC
rnacentral:rRNA from 1 species